AACGUAGGAGACAAACGUUAUCCGGAGUUACUGGGCGUAAAGGGCGUGUAGGUGGUUUCGUAAGUCUGGCGUGAAAUUUUUCGGCUUAACCGGGAAAGGUCGUCGGAUACUGCGGAACUAGAGGACGGUAGAGGCGUGUGGAAUUCCGGUGGAGCGGUGAAAUGCGUUGAGAUCGGAAGGAACGCCCGUGGCGAAAGCGAGGUCCUGGACGUCUACUGACGCUGAGACGCGAAAGCUAGGGGAGCAAACGGG
rnacentral:rRNA from 1 species